UCUCCUACAGUAUCACCAUCCAACAACUACCAUUAGAGGCCUCUUCUGCUAUACAUUUAUUUAGUGGGUGGUCCCACACAUGGAGAUUGUCUGAUUCAUUGACUAAUCCAAUGGGCCCCAUUGUCACUUAAAUUUCACGGGAUAAAUAUGUAAUCAAUAUAAAUAGUGUGGCGCAUGGACUGCACCAAAUGAAUGGUGAGGAUAGCCAUGUCAAAGUUUCUUUUUUUUUUUUUUUGACAAAAAUCCUGAAGUACUUUUUACAUGACUAAUUUCUCACA
rnacentral:lncRNA from 1 species